ACCGGUAUCCUCUAAACACAAAAAAUAGAAAAGUGAUCCGUAUAAUUCAGUUAAUUAUUUAGUGCAAACUGCUAUCUUAAGUGGAACACGCCACCAAAAAUAACUGAUCUGAAGAUUAAUGAGUUUACAGACAUAUGUAAAUGAUCUUGUUAUUGAGAAAUGACUCAUGAGCCAUAAAUAAAGCGUUUACUGCGAAAACAACUUUCGAAUAUUUAAAUGACUUUAUCAAAGGUUAUAGAACAUGCCUUAUAUCCUUAUUCCUGCUUACCUUUCCUGAAAGUUUUUCUUACCGAACAUGCUCAUAUUCUCUAAAACUUAAACAUUCCCUAUAUCUUUAAAUCUCUUUUAUGAAUUAAGAAGCCAGAUUUUGAUGCCAAUAGACAUUAUUAAAGAUAUCCAUUUGCAAACGAACAUUUGAACUGGUUUAAAACAAGGGAUGUCGGUUAUCACUUACUAAGCAACAAUCUAUUGAAAUAUAUUGAAUAAAACAACAAUAAUUUACAUACCCAA